rfam:Salmo salar isolate Sally breed double haploid chromosome ssa20, whole genome shotgun sequence.
UCCUGUGUGGCUCAGUUGGUAGAGCAUGGUGUUUGUAACACCAGGGUUGUGGGUUUGAUUCCCACAGGGGAU